rnacentral:rRNA from 1 species
UACGAAGGGGGCUAGCGUUGCUCGGAUUUACUGGGCGUAAAGGGCGCGUAGGCGGAUGUUUAAGUCGGGGGUGAAAGCCCAGGGCUCAACCCUGGAACUGCCUUCGAUACUGGACAUCUUGAGUACGGGAGAGGUGAGCGGAACUCCGAGUGUAGAGGUGAAAUUCGUAGAUAUUCGGAAGAACACCAGUGGCGAAGGCGACUCACUGGCCCGUUACUGACGCUGAGGCGCGAAAGCGUGGGGAGCAAACAGG